rnacentral:tRNA from 1 species
GCGGGCAUCGUAUAAUGGCUAUUACCUCAGCCUUCCAAGUGAUGAUGCGGGUUCGAUUCCCGCUGCCCGCUCCA